CUAAGCGGAGGAAAAGAAACUAACCAGGAUUCCCCUAGUAACGGCGAGUGAAUGGGGAUUAGCCCAGCACCGAAGCCUGCAUCCAUUUGGGUGUAAGGCACUGUGGUGUUUAGGUCUUCGCAUGCUGAAUUCUGUGUUGUCCCAAGUCCAGUUAUGAAUAUGGCUACUAAUAUUUGCCCGUAGAGGGUGAAAGGCCCGUGGGGAUGGCAUGGUAUUUGGCUGUGUUGGCCUUGGAGUCGGGUUGUUUGUGAAUGCAGCCCAAAGUGGGUGGUAGACUCCAUCUAAGGCUAAAUACUGGCACGAGUCCGAUAGCAAACAAGUACCGUGAGGGAAAGUUGAAAAGUACUCUGAAGAGAGAGUAAACAGUGCGUGAAACCGCUUGGAGGUAAACGGGUGUAGUCAAGCUGCAAGCUUUGGGGAUUCAGCUGGUCAGUAUACUGUGAGCAUGAGCGCAUAGACCUGCUGUUGAGGUCCGCCUAGAGUGGCGGCUCCGGUCUCUUAGUGGACUGGGGGUUGGAUAACCUAUGGUUAUUACCGCUUCUUCAGUUUAUGGUUAGCUGGCCGGUGCAUUUCCUCAGGGUGUUAGCCGCAACCGCUGUUGCUGUCAGUCUGCUGUGGUUAAACCAGUUGGAUAAGGUGUCUUGCCUUGUUCGAUUGGGAUGGCAGGUGGCCUGGUGUAGGCAUUCUUGUUUACGUUGGGUGUUAUCAGCCGAUCAUGGUGGUAUAUUAAAACUGUGCAGUGCAGUGGGACUAGCGACGUGUUGGUAAUGAUGGACGCGCUACAGUGUACCGGCAUAGUCUGGGUCAGGUUGCCUGUUGUCUGCUUAGGUGGACCUGGCGGCGGCUCUGCUGUGGUUUGGUGUGCGGAGGCGUUUGUUAACCGUUAUUAAUUGUCGUCAAGAGUCUGUGGCGUAGUGGUAGACGAUCCACCUGACCCGUCUUGAAACACGGACCAAGGAGUUUAACUUGUGCGCGAGUCAAUGGGUGUUAAUCUAUGAUAUACGAAACCCAAAGGCGAAGUGAAAGUGAAGGUCUGGCCUUGUGUUGGACUGCGGUGAGAUCCUGUCGUCUCGAGCUGACCUAGUCAUGCAUUAGAGCGAUGGGCGCAUUACCGGCCCGUCUCAUGGUGUUUUUGCAUCGGGGCGGAGCAUGAGCGUACAAGUUGAGACCCGAAAGAUGGUGAACUAUGCUUGCGCAGGUUGAAGCCGGAGGAAACUCUGGUGGAGGACCGUAGCGAUUCUGACGUGCAAAUCGAUCGUAUGACGUGAGUAUAGGGGCGAAAGACUAAUCGAACCAUCUAGUAGCUGGUUCCCU
rnacentral:rRNA from 1 species